AAUAGAUACCCCGGUAGUCCACGCCGUAAACGAUGGAUACUAGCUGUUGGGCGCAAGUUCAGUGGCUAAGCGAAAGUGAUAAGUAUCCCACCUGGGGAGUACGAACGCAAGUUUGAAACUCAAAGGAAUUGACGGGGGCCCGCACAAGCGGUGGAGCAUGUGGUUUAAUUCGAUGAUACGCGAGGAACCUUACCAAGGCUUAAAUGCAGACUGACCGGUUUGGAAACAGACCUUUCGCAAGACGGUCUACAAGGUGCUGCAUGGUUGUCGUCAGCUCGUGCCGUGAGGUGUCAGGUUAAGUCCUAUAACGAGCGCAACCCCUGUUGUUAGUUGCCAGCGAGUCAUGUCGGGAACUUUAGCAAGACUGCCAGUGCAAACUGUGAGGAAGGUGGGGAUGACGUCAAAUCAUCACGGCCCUUACGCCUUGGGCUACACACGUGCUACAAUGGCCGGUACAGAGAGCAGCCACCCCGCGAGGGGGAGCGAAUCUAUAAAGCCGGUCACAGUUCGGAUCGGAGUCUGCAACUCGACUCCG
rnacentral:rRNA from 1 species